rnacentral:rRNA from 1 species
AAGUAGGUCCAUACCACCCUAAAAGUACCUGAUUUCAUCUGCUCUCAGUAGCUAAGCAGAGUCGGGCCUAUUUUUAAAUGAUGUGUGUGGGGUGGGGAGUGGGGUAUAUGAAAACCUCUUAU